GGAUGAACGCUGGCGGCGUGCCUAAUACAUGCAAGUCGAGCGAACAGACGAGGAGCUUGCUCCUCUGACGUUAGCGGCGGACGGGUGAGUAACACGUGGAUAACCUACCUAUAAGACUGGGAUAACUUCGGGAAACCGGAGCUAAUACCGGAUAAUAUAUUGAACCGCAUGGUUCAAUAGUGAAAGACGGUUUUGCUGUCACUUAUAGAUGGAUCCGCGCCGCAUUAGCUAGUUGGUAAAGUAACGGCUUACCAAGGCAACGAUGCGUAGCCGACCUGAGAGGGUGAUCGGCCACACUGGAACUGAGACACGGUCCAGACUCCUACGGGAGGCAGCAGUAGGGAAUCUUCCGCAAUGGGCGAAAGCCUGACGGAGCAACGCCGCGUGAGUGAUGAAGGUCUUCGGAUCGUAAAACUCUGUUAUUAGGGAAGAACAAAUGUGUAAGUAACUAUGCACGUCUUGACGGUACCUAAUCAGAAAGCCACGGCUAACUACGUG
rnacentral:rRNA from 1 species